UACGUAGGGGGCGAGCGUUGUCCGGAUUUAUUGGGCGUAAAGAGCGUGUAGGCGGCUUGGCAAGUCCGCUGUGAAAACUCGAGGCUCAACCUCGAGACGUCGGUGGAAACUGCCUGGCUAGAGUCCGGAAGAGGAGAGUGGAAUUCCUGGUGUAGCGGUGAAAUGCGCAGAUAUCAGGAGGAACACCGGUGGCGAAGGCGGCUACCUGGACAGAAACUGACGCUGAGGCGCGAAAGCUAGGGGAGCAAACAGG
rnacentral:rRNA from 1 species